AGAAUCAACGCUGGCGGCGUGCCUAACACAUGCAAGUCGAACGAGAAAGUGGAGCAAUCCAUGAGUAAAGUGGCGACCGGGUGAGUAACACGUGACUAACCUACCUUCGAGUGGGGGAUAACCUCGGGAAACCGAGGCUAAUACCGCAUAACAUCGCAAGAUCAAAGCAGCAAUGCGCUGGAAGAGGGGGUCGCGGCUGAUUAGCUAGUUGGCGGGUAACGGCCCACAAGGCGAAGAUCGGUAGCCGGCCUGAGAGGGCGCACGGCCACACUGGAACUGAAACACGGUCCAGACUCCUACGGGAGGCAGCAGUGGGGAAUUUUGCGCAAUGGGGGAAACCCUGACGCAGCAACGCCGCGUGGAGGAUGAAGCCCCUUGGGGCGUAAACUCCUUUCGACCAAGACGAUAAUGACGGUACUGGUGGAAGAAGCACCGGCUAACUCUGCGCCAGCAGCCGC
rnacentral:rRNA from 1 species